CUCACAGAGAUCUGCCUGCUUCUGCCCCUUAAAUGCUGCGAUUAAAGGCAGGAGCCACCAUUGCCUUGUUCUUUUUAACUUUAUUUAAUUUUUUUUCUAUGUGUACAAGUGUCUGCCUACAUAUGUGUAUAUGCACACGUGUGUGCCUGGUAUCUUAGGAGACCAGAAGGGGACACGGGAUCCCUAGGAACUAGAGUUACAGGUAGUCAAAAAUUGCCGUGUGGGUGCUGGGACCCAAACCCAGUUCCUCUGCAAGAAAAAGUGUUCCUAACUGCUGAGGGGUCUCUCCAGCCCUGUGGGCUAUUUCUUAAUUUCUUUUUAAGAAAUACAGGUACUUGAGGGGACAUUCUGUCUCACUUUGCUGUUCCUUUGUUUACAUAUAUACAAACACACACACAGUGAAAGAACAAGAAACUAGACAGCAGUUUUUUCUGCUGCCCCCAGAGACUCUCCCACUCACAACGGAACUCAGAGGAUCCCUCCAGCUUGAGCAGUUCAGGGAUGGAGGUGAGACUCUGGGGUCUUGCAUCUGACCCUGCAGCAGCGAUGAAUGGGCUCUGAACUAGGACAGAUCCUUGGCUGCCUGCUGGGUAGAGACCUCAGCUCUCAGGGAAGAACUUCCCAUCCUACCUUUCAGUGGACCAUCCUGUCUUCCUCCUCCCCUGCCCUCUCCUCACACAAGCCAUCUGGAGAGUCAGUUGUUGGGGAACUUUGAUCUCUUUAUCUGGAAGGCAGGAAGAUGGACCUGUGGAGCCAGAGGGCUGUGAGCAAAUGCUUUGCACUUUUCUAGCAGUUCCUGUUAAGUGGGGCCUUCCCAUAGGAAGGCUGCAGGGGAAAGGGCAAAGGGUGGGUGGAUGGGCGAGGGGGAGGUCUUUGGAAGGAACUAGCACAAAGGGUUUGGAAAAAUACACCCUAGAAGCAUAACCCUGCAUAGGCUGAGCGCUUAUUUACUGCAUCAGUGAAAAGACCCUUAAGGCUAAGGAUACAGCUGGUUCCAGGCCCCGGCCUUGUCCUCAGCCCCCGGCCUUGUCCUCAGCCCCAUAACUCCAGUACUGAAGAGGCAGAGGCAGAAUGAUGAGGAGUUCAAGAUCACCCUUGCUUACAAAGUUCAAGGGCUAGGAAGCUACUCUGCCCACCAAGACCAAGAGCUACGUUUUGGAAGGACACUGGGGUGGCUCAGAGGUCAAGAGGAAGAGCUACUACAGCAGACAGGCAGGAUCCUGGGCAGCCCGGACCUUCUUUCUAAAACACCGUGGUUUGGAUACUGCUGCUGCUGCUGCGCUGGCCACUAGGCUGAGUCUUUGCGUUCAGGUUUCAAAUUCCCAAGAGAAUCUGACUUGUCCGCCUGGGUCAGGUGUCUACCACCCGGUCUCUUUUCUUCCCCUCCUCCUCUCUACCUCCUCUGUCCUCUUCUCUCCUUUCCUCUCCUCUCUUCCUCUCCUCCCUCUCCUCUUCUCUCUUCCUUUCUCCGCCCCACCCCCCUUACCGUUCUAAUGCAUUCCAGGCUGACUUCCCUUUCUUACUUACUCCUUUAGUAGCCCAGGAUGACCUUGAACUUGUGAUCCUCCUGCCGCUAACUCCCUGGAGCUGAAAUCACUGGGCAUGUCCCACCAAGCCCAGUUUCUGUGUAACUAGGCAAGCCAGACAUACCGGGCAAGCGCUGUACAGACUGGGCUCCACCCUGAGCCCAGAGCUCUGCCCUCCUGAGACUUUGAAGGGAAGUACUUUGUGGGCACAGCAAUCCCCUGGAUGGCUAUUUUCUGGUGGAAAAGUUGCCAGGAGUGUCCUGUCACUCAGAAGGGUGAGUGGAAGGGUCACGGCUAGAAAUUCAUCCUAGAGUUCAGGCUGUUCAAUUGGGUUUCAUCGCAGUCAGCAGUUACAAAGGAGGUGGGCCAAUUCGCAGUGCCCAUCACAUUGUGUCCCAGAGGAAUUAAAACCCUAGUAGUCCAUCGGUGAGGGACUGCUCAGGGUGGGGCUGCACCACUCACUCCCUAGGACCCUUAGGGCUCUCCCUAAAGGAAAUAAAGGCCACACACAAGAUGGGUUAGGGUGCAAAGCUGCUUCCAAAAAGCCUGCCUCAGAUCCAUCCCUGGGCCUCAGGCAGUGGAACAGAACCGGCUGGUGCAAGUUAAGCUCUCUCCUCUGUUUCCUAUACACACAAUACACACAUGCAAUUCAAUGUGUGUAUUGUCGCAGCCUGUUGCUUCUACCGUUAGGGGUUUCAACUGCUUCGUUUCUUUCUUUUUGGGGGAGGAUGGAAGCAGGAUAGAGGGAAUUUUUUGUUUUGUUUUGUCUUGAGAUAGGGUCUCAUGUAUCCCAAACUAGCCUUGAAUCUGCUAUGUAGCUGAAGAUAACUGUUUUAUGGACUGCUGGGGAUGAAGCUCAGGACUUUGUGCUAGGCGAGCACUCUGCCAACUGAGACCUUGAACUCUCUGAGACUACAAGUGUUUGCCCCCUCCCCACCCAACCUGUUUUAUUCAUCACAUCUCUACUUUAUUUGAAAUUAUGUGUGUGUGCUAAUGAGUCCAAUUGCCCUCAGGCCAAAGAGGGCAGGGCGUUGGCUCAUGCGGAGCGGUGUUACAGGAGGUCGUGAGCGCCUCACAUAAGUGCCUGGAACUGAACUGAGGUCCUCUGGAAGAGCAAUAAACAUUCUUACCGUGUGUGUGUGUGUGUGUGUGUGUGUGUGUGUGUGUGUGUGUGUGUGUGUGUUGUCUCUCCCCUUGAGUAACCUUCUCCUGACCUCUUUGUCACGGUGUUCAGUGAGUGGAUAAAGUCACCUGAGGAGUCUCCAGUCUCAGGCUACUGCCAGUCUGUCUAUCUGUCCUCCUGCCUCCAGCCAGUCUUCAUGUAUCUGUAAGGAAUGUAUCAGGUUAGUUUCUUUGGCCAGGGUAAUAAUGUUCCUUUUAACUGAGCUCUUGACUACAAGAAUAGCCAAGCUGGAGCACAUUCUGGUGAAGGUUUCCCAAGUCAAAGCAAACCCCAGGGCUAGGGGCAAGAGCCCCUCCCCCUGCCUCCUCACAGGGAACCUCGGGAUUAAAACCACUGCUUGGGCUCUGGCCUGUUACCUGGCAAUCAAAGGUUAGUUCAGCCAGAGUGGCCCGUGCCUCUACAGAUCUGAGCUCUCCAUCACCCCUUUACCAUGGGAAACGCCUGAA